AAUGCCUGCUUUUAAACACUCUGAAAGCUGACGGUGUUGUCUUUGUUAAUCAGUGCCGCGCUCCACAUGCAUUCAGCUGAACAUAACCUGGAAUCUUUUUCUAAUUGCUUUGCUGCGUUUGCGCGAGCGGUCUGGCAUCAGGCCCAGUGCGUUGUUCGUCACGUCUCUUGUUUGCUCGUUGUAAUCACGUUACACGUGCCGUCGAGUCUUGCUGGAGCUUCACAGCGAGAGAGCGUCCUGUUUUGAUUGCGAUUCUCACAAACGCUGUUUUCUGUUUCACAUCCAGCUCGCUUAGGUUUCAUAAUGCAGGUUUUAGCCCCCGGUCAUGCUGCAAUUCUAACGUGUAAUAAAUAAUAGAGGAGACGAGGAUUGUUUGGCAGCCUGACCCCUCGCGCUGAUGAAACGCUGAUUAUUUUCCCAGGAUUUCUCCAGACGUUUCUCUUCAGAAUAUUCAACAAUUUGGGUUAAAUAUGGAGAAUUAAGUGCGCCUGUCGAGCAGCGCCGGAGGUUAAACAUCCCUCCGACUGCGGGGAAUAUUUGAUAAGUCUGAAACAUAAUCACAGGCCGUAAUAAAGAGAGGAGAGACUGCGUGACCCCGUCAUGUUCAGGCACUCAGCGUUUAAAGCGUUUUAAAGCACUUCCAAAAGGGAUGAAUUUGGAGAAAAGCAGCCAGGGCAGUGAGGGGGCCGACGCGUGCCUAAAAAUACAGCCGCAUGCCACUCACGAGAUUGGCACACUUUUGAUGAGAGCGGGUCAGAAACGAUACGCCCCCAAACCAAACAGCAUCGCCCGAGAGAGGAGGACUGUAAAACACAGAGCGUGUCAUAAAACAGUUUUUUAAGGGGAUGAAAGGCGGUUUACUCAAAGCUUGUUUUAAGGAUAAUUUCGCUGCUUCUCCAUUAGGUCAGACUGGCUUUGAACGGCUCUGGAUGUCCGUUCUCCUGAUAACAGGAGUUUAAUGUCUGACACACUGCUGGCCAUGGAGGUGAACCGCCGCUGAUAAGACUGUGUGUGUGUACUGUACACACUCUCUCACUGAAGACGAGCGGAGUGAAUCUCAGCUGUAAUGGGUCAGAUAGACGCUAUAGGGAGCUUUGCUUUGUGAUAUAAUGUUCAACGUACAUGAUUUAUAAUAAUAUAAUGCCGAUUAUCACGGAUGAUCAUGUUUCUCCGUCAGUUUGUAAAA